AGCAAGUUGAGGUAACGGUAUCCGGGAUAACUCAUCACUAUCUUAUAGUUGUUCGAUUCAACUACUUGCUA
rnacentral:tRNA from 1 species